CCGCAGGUGAACUAAAAUAUAAUUUACAUGUAGGCUAAUUUAUUUUAGCCUUUUUGUAUGGGGCUAUUGUUUUUUUGCAUUAGGCCAAGCACGCCUAUCUGGCACAAGAAUUAACUGGCAAGUAUGCGGUGCUUUCAACCACUCAAUAUGUCAAGGAAUGCUCCUAUGAGAGACUGGAGCUUGGACUGUAAGGUUUAUGUAGGUGAUUUGGGCUAUGGAUGUGCUAAGCAAGAACUAGAAGAAAAAUUCUCUAAAUAUGGUCAGCUGCGUAAUGUUUGGGUUGCCCGCAAGCCUCCAGGCUUUGCAUUUGUAGAAUUUGAGGACAGUAGGGAUGCAGAAGAUGCAGUUAGGGCAUUAGAUGGAUCCAAAAUUAAUGGUCGCCGUGUGAGAGUAGAAAUGUCCUCAGGACGCUCUAGAUGGAGUAAUAGAGGCGGGCCAGGUAGAGGUGGAGGCAGGCAACAACAGAAUGAUAACUAUAGAGGAGGGGGAGGAGGCGGAGGUGGAAGAAGGUCAAGGGUCAUCACCAUCAGCUGGGUACACCACUGCCAGCCCCACCACCACCACUACUAGCACCAACUUCCUUCACCACUACUACUACUACUACCACCUACAUCAUCAACUCAGCCAACUCCACCGUCGGGGGCUCCAACUCCACAAAAAAACAAACAACUCCGUAGCUGCUGUCAGCAUCCCCAACUAAAAAGCAAAUUAUGCCAUCAGCCUUUGCACCGCCAGCCGACAAAAGUAUAUUGCAGAAUCCACAUUUUAUUGCUCUGGAAUCAGCAGAUAUAUUUCAUCAAAACUGCCUUUGACAUGCCCCAGUUUUCUAAAUAGCAUUUUUUUUUAAAGUGAAAAGUUCUUAUUCAUAGCAGAGAUGUAAUAUUUACCUUUCACUCAAAUGCUGUUAAAGAUUUUAUUUGAUAAUUUUUAUAUAUUUAUAUUUUUCAAUAUUAAAAAAAAAAUUAAACUAAUAAAAAAAAAUUACUUCAAAAAUAGACAAAAAAUUAAAAUAAAAAAAAAUUACACUUGUGGGCAGUAAGUUGAAUCAAUUGUGGCAUGUUUAAUCAACUUUAACCUCAACUGGGUCUUCGGGGAGCGCUGCCUUUCCACUACCACAGUACCUCAUCUUCAUUUUAAUCAACCAACAACUGAUCUUCGUAUGGUAUCUUCGUUGUACAAUGAUCUUUCUCACCUCGUAGACAUUCUCGCAGUCAUAGUGCAUCAGCUUCACCGAGAAGAAGAAGCAGGAGCAGGAGCUAGACAAGAAGUUCUAUUUCUCAACAUUGUCCAUGUGUGCUAGUGCUGGCAUCUGAUUACCUCCAUCCAGUAUUUUUUUUUUUUUUUAAAAGGAAUGUUCAAAAAGUACACUAAAUAUUCUCAUAAACAAAUUUUCAGGAGUUGAGAGCUUUCAUCAUUAUCAUAAUAUAUAGUUUCUAUCUCCUCCCCCCCUCCCAACCAAAACAUGUAAUUUAUACAAUUUUGAAGUAUUUUUAUAAAAAUGUAAUUUAUUUAUUUCAAUCAAAAAGGUAAAUGUCUAGUUAGGUCUCCCUUGUUUCAAACUCCACAUUCAUUUUCCCAGUAUAGUUGUAAGAAGUCAAUGAAUCACAAUUUUCUAUUGACCAUCCUGUGAAUGUAUUCCUAAUGUGACACUGUUUGGACACUUGUGCUUGAGUUUUUUGAAGCUGUUGUGAAAGUACCUAUUCAUCUCAAUAAUUUUUAAUAACUCUAUUGAGGGCAUUUAUUAUUAUUCACUGUGUAUAUAUUUAUCUAUGUCCAUAUCAUGUUAAACAUGUUAUCUGUGUUGAAUUCAAAAGUGCAAACAAAAUAACAUAACUUAAUGAGAUAAAUUUUUUUUUUUAAUUAUUAUUCAAGGUAAAUAUUGUGACUUAACAUGUCUUGUCAUUUUAGUUUGAACCUAUCAAACUUUAUUUUAACUACAUGUUCGGUUGUUAAAUUAAAUGCAGUUUUAGACUUGAAACAUUUGACAUUAUCAACCAUUAAUUCAAACACUACUUUUUAUAAUUUUUCAAACACAUCCAUUACUAGCUUUUUUAAAAUUAUUAUUAUUUAUAUUAAUUUUUUUUCUCCUUAAAACAAAUAUGUCAUUGAUAUAAUUAAUGUAAAAUUGAAAUAAAUUGUGCUGAAUUUUUC